rnacentral:rRNA from 1 species
AGAGUUUGAUCAUGGCUCAGAUUGAACGCUGGCGGAAUUUACACAUGCAAGUCGAACGGCAGCACGGGGGCAACCCUGGUGGCGAGUGGCGAACGGGUGAGUAAUACAUCGGAACGUGCCCAGUCGUGGGGGAUAACGUAGCGAAAGCUACGCUAAUACCGCAUACGAACUCUGGUUGAAAGCGGGGGAUCGCAAGACCUCGCGCGAUUGGAGCGGCCGAUGGCAGAUUAGGUAGUUGGUGGGGUAAAGGCUCACCAAGCCGACGAUCUGUAGCUGGUCUGAGAGGACGACCAGCCACACUGGGACUGAGACACGGCCCAGACUCCUACGGGAGGCAGCAGUGGGGAAUUUUGGACAAUGGGCGCAAGCCUGAUCCAGCCAUUCCGCGUGCAGGAUGAAGGCCCUCGGGUUGUAAACUGCUUUUGUACGGAACGAAACGCGCUGAGUUAAUACCUCGGCGUAAUGACGGUACCGUAAGAAUAAGCACCGGCUAACUACGUGCCAGCAGCCGCGGUAAUACGUAGGGUGCAAGCGUUAAUCGGAAUUACUGGGCGUAAAGCGUGCGCAGGCGGUUAUGUAAGACAGGUGUGAAAUCCCCGGGCUUAACCUGGGAACUGCAUUUGUGACUGCAUAGCUAGAGUACGGUAGAGGGGGAUGGAAUUCCGCGUAGCAGUGAAAUGCGUAGAUAUGCGGAGGAACACCGAUGGCGAAGGCAACCCCUGGACCUGUACUGACGCUCAUGCACGAAAGCGUGGGGAGCAAACAGGAUUAGAUACCCUAGUAGUCC